UGUUCAUUUAAGAUUGCUACUUAAACAAUGCCCUUUAUUUUACUUUCUUAUCGUAUACACUUUUCAGGUGUAUUCAGGGUAAGCAUAGUUAUUAGUUAAUUUUUUAUAUUUUUUUCACAAAUUAUGAGUAAUUAAGAUUUAGUUACUGUUCAAGUACCAGAGAAACAUAAUGUUCUGGUGCUUGGACAUAGUUUUGUUGCUCGUUUGGGAAAUGAUGUUUCUACGAUUCCUUCUAUAAGACCUGAUUUUGACUUGAUCAGCUGUAGUUCACUGUCUUGGUAUCAGGGGGUGUUAUCAGUGACCUUAUUAAAGAUCUGUCAGGGGGACUUCACUGCCAACUCAAUAGUUUUCGUCCAGAAAUGGCGAUACUACAGAUUGGUGGUAACGAUAUUGAUCAAGAAAAACAUUAUCCUCCACAGGUGUAUAUGGAGUCUGUGAAGCAUUUCAUCACAAAGCUCCAGACCGUAUACCAGGUACAAAAAGUUGUUUUGUGAGAGAUUUUUCCUCGUCUUAAAGUCCGGAAAAGUGAUGUUGACUUUUACAAUGAGGAAAAAGAUAUGUUGAAUAGAGAGUUGGAUGCUCACUAUUCAGUUAGGCAUGCAUCACCUGGUGUUGUUUUUUGUUCCACAGGGAUGGUUUAACAAGUUCAGCGGGUUUUUUUAGGAAGCGUGAUGGCGUUCAUCUUCAUGAUGAAGGUACUUAACGUUUUUAUUUUAGUAUCAGAAGGGCUAUUGGAAGUACCCAAAAUGGUAGUUCAAUCGCCCUUGGUACUUUGAAAUUUAAACAAGAAUGAAAGAUUAUGGUAUAAUUACCAGUGAGACAGCUCUCCAGCAAUAAAAAUAAGAAUAUUUCAAAAAAAAUUGGUAUAAAGCCAUGAUAGCUAGUGAGACAGAACUCCAACAAUAAAAAUAAACAUUUUGUACAAUAACCAGUGUAUGACACCAAAAACAAUUAUGUGGUAUAUGGCCACGAUAGCCAGUGAGACAGCACUCCAUCAAUAGAAAUAAGAUGAUUUUGUGAGACAGUGAGACAGUAUUCCACCAACAAAAGAAAAUCCCUAUGUGGUGUAAAUAUAGCCAGUGAGACAGCGUACCACUAAUUUGUGCGAAGAAGAUUCUAAAUCCUAAUGAAUUUCAAUUAGUACUGUAGCAUACGGUAUAUCCAGUACUUGCAACCACUUUUAAGAUGAGUUAAUUGAAUUAUGGCCAAAAAAACCCUUAUAAGUAAUGGUUUUAGAUUAAAGUAAAUGAUGAACAUGACUAGUUUUUGGACACAUUGCCAAGGGGUUAAAGGGAAGGGAAAUAAUAAUGUACAUUAUCAUAUUAAUUUCAGGUAUUUUCGUUUUCAAUUGGAGGCCAGAAAUGACCAUUUAUACUGUUGUAUCUGUGGAUUCAGAUCAUCUUAAUUUCUCAUUAAUUUACUUUAAAUUUAUUCCUUUUUAUAAAAAGCUGCUGUUAAUUUUUGAUAAUUUAUCUUUUUUACCAAUUUAAAAUUAUAUUAUAUAGUAAUAAUGUCAGAAUUCCUAAAGUCUAAAAUUAAAUUUUGCAAUAAAGACUAGUAUUUUAAAUAACUCUUUUCUGCUCAUCUAAACUAUGCACUCAUGGUUCAUUAAGUUAAAACGAAAUGUUUUUACUCUAAUAUUUGAUAUAGCAUACUACAUACUUGUACAAAUGUAUUAGGUCAUUUUCUAGUGUUCAUUUAGGAUUGCUAUUUAAACAAUGCCCUUUAUUUUACUUUCUUAUCGUAUACACUGUUCAGGUGUAUUCAGGUAAGCAUACAUUGUAGUUAUUAGUUAAUUUUUUAUAUUUUUUUAACAAAUUAUAAGUUAUUAAGAUAAGGUUACUGUUCAAGUACCAGAGAAACAUAAUGUUCUGGUGCUUGGACAUAGUUUUGUUGCUCGUUUUGGAAAUGAUGUUUUUACGAUUCCUUCUUUAAGACCUGAUCCUGAUUUUGACCUUGAUCAGGCUGUAGUUCACUGUCUUGGUAUCAGGGGGUGUUAUCAGUGACCUUAUUAAAGAUCUGUCGGGGAGACUUCACUGCAAACUCCAUAGUUUUCGUCCAGAAAUGGUGAUACUACAGAUUGGUGGUAACGAUAUUGAUAAAGAAAAACAUUAUCAUCCUCAGGUGUAUAUGGAGUCUGAAGCAAUUCAUCACAAAGCCCCAGACCGUAUACCAGGUACAAAAAGUUGUUUAGUGCGAGAUUUUUCCUCGUCUUAAAAUCCGGCAAAC
rnacentral:lncRNA from 1 species